UCAGCAAAGGGGAAAGAGCACUUUUGCUUCACCAAAAACCCUUGGCUUUGAUUAAAUCCAUAUAACUUCUCACUCCGAGUUCCGAUCACCACAUUGUUUGCGGCCACGCGACCACCACGUUGAGCUCUACGAUUCUACCGAAAUAAUUUCAUAGGCUCAAAUUAACUUGAGAAAAAUAUUCACUCUUGCUUGUGUGAUGCUUGGAUAAGGCUAGUAUAUGUGUAUAUUGAAGUUGAUUGAGUACAUUGGAGGCUUGGUGGAGAUUGGGAGGUCUUGCCUUGGAGAUUUUGAACCUUGAGGGUUGCUUUUGGUGCCUUGCUGG